rnacentral:lncRNA from 1 species
UUAUUAGGGUCAUUUGUAUGUGCCUGUAACUCUUCACAAAAUGACACGAACAAUUAAUUUAUCACUAGGACUCAUUGAACUUUACGGAGGUUCCUUGUAUUAAAAGGAAGCCAGAAUCACAUGUCCCUUUAUAGCAAGAGGUAAUAUGAUCUUUUUUGGGUACCUCCUUGCAUGUGCUGAUGUAUUGUGGACCACAAUAAGCUUCCAUCUUAAAAUUCACCCUUAUCCCAAGUAAUGUUUAAGACCUUUGGAAAGAAGGGAAUGCAAGCAGAUCAACCAACUGUUAAUUCCUUCACAUUAUUACCUACAUACUAGCAUCACCUUGUUGUUGCUUUCAUCUCCCCUUUCAUCUCAAGAUUAGGCUCAUGUGUGGCAAAAUAAAAUGAAGUUAUGGAAAUGCAUUGAAUGUUAGGUGGAGGUUUUGGUUAUUUAGCUAAGCCAUAGAUGUUCACUAAAUGAAUUGGAACCAUGUAAAAGCUCUGGUAUUUAUGACUGGCUACAACCAUGGGGAAACAUAUGUGGAGUUGCUUUACAACAGUUCCAAAUGAGUGCCUGGAUCUUGCCCUCCAUGAACACCUUUGAUCUUGCUAUCCUUGAAGCUUUUGCUCCCACAGAGUAUUUCUGCUUGUGAAAUGGGAACGAGACAAUGUUCACUGACAUCUUACUAGGCAGCUUGCUAUGCUUCCAAGGACCACCCUCUGAAGCAUUGUAGAGGCAAUGCUGGAGGGCUGUAAAGGAAAUAGGGAAUGGACAAAAGUAAAUUCCUCUGUUUAGAUGCCAAGCAUCACCCACUAUUGCUGAAGAAUAAAUACAUCCAAAUAUGCAUAGGUUUAAAAGUCUUUUUUUAAUUAAAAGUUUACAAUAAUUUAUGUAUUUUACAAAUGAAUAGAAAGUCUUUGAUAUAUAGCAUAUGAACCACAAUACAAAAAUAUGUGUAAAAUUUUGUACAUGUGAGCCUAUUUUAGGCUCAUCAAUUAUUUCUUUAGCACUGAAUCAAACAUUUAAGUAUUUUAGAUAUGAUUAUUAUGAGAUUACAUUAGAAAACACAAAGAGAAGAUGGCAUAUUCACCAUAAAAGAAAUUCUACUAAAGUGUAUGUCAGCUGGUCCAUACAUGACUGGAGCUUAUCAGAUGUACAUGAGGAAGAUGUGGGAAUAAAUCUAUCAUUUGAGAAUCUAAUGUGA